rnacentral:tRNA from 1 species
GGAUCUAGCUCAGUGGUAGAGCACAUGUUUAUCAUGCACCAAGUCCUGGGUUCAAUCCCCAGUACUUCCA